CUGCUUCCGGUUUAAGACGGAGCCCAAAGUCCUUGUGAGUUUUCCCAGCCAGAGAGAUUUGGGCUUCCUAGUUUUGAACAGCAAUAUCGUCACGCCAGAUGUAACUCCCUUCUGGCAAAUGGGACGGCUAAUUGAUGAGCUCAGGACGGGAGGCCUCCUGCAGGAGACAGCGCAAAGAAAAGGAAAAUGCGCACGGCACACAGACAGUUAAGCCGGUGGGGAGGCCGCUCUCUGGCACCGAUGAUGGAAAACCUCGGCUGAAAAGAGAGACCCCCCUGCAGCAGUUUGAAGGCAAAGAGUAGCUGCUUGCUGCUUUUUAUUUUUAACUAUGAAGGAUCAAUUAGAGCCGUCAGAUCGUGUCGCCAGAGGUUCUGAUGUGAGCCUGCUGACUCAGGAGGAGAGUCAGACAGCACUCCCUCCCGGGGCCGCAAGACUUCUCCUUAAUUGGUUUGAAAAAUUGUGCUGGACGCCAGCAGCUGCUGCUCGGGCGGUCAGGAGCCAGGAGGGACAGGAAGGAUGACAGCCCAGCCUCUCGCCUUCCGAAGCCCCUCGCGUUUGUCCUUCUGCUCCUGAACCGCUCCUGCGUUCCUCGGGCGCCCUGACUGCACUGCCCGACGCUCCAGGCAUCUUGGGGGAGCAGGGCCCUGCGGGGACACUCACAGGUGGGAGCAACUGCCUGGCUUCUGUCUAGGAGAAGAGCUGGGCCGUUUCCUUGUCUAUAAAUGAAGACGGUUGGAUUAAAUAAUUUGUUCUCAAAUAUAUUUUUUUCUUCCAGCAGAUAAAAAUCUUAUUCAAACAAAAACUAACUGAAAUGCAUCCUACAGUGCCCUGCCCACUGGGCUUCAUGUCCUCCAUCCCCAGCUGACUCCUCUCCCAGGGCCCGGGGCUCCCCAGAGCACAGCUCGGAAAUCACCAGGCUGGACGUGCUGGAGGCCCCGUUAGGCUCUGACAGUCUGGGUCCUGUGGCGUGGGGAUUUCAGGAACGGCCCCAGGAGAGAAGAGAGCCCGCAGCAGGGCAGCCUGGUCCCUGCAGGUUGUCUCAGCAGCGGCAGAGGGCUGGGGGACAAGGAAGAUGCAGAUAGUGCUACCACCAACGGCAGCUGCUCAGGCUGCGGUGGCCCCGCGGCCUCACUUCCCUAAGAGCAGCUGGAGAGAACAGAGGGAUGGUCCCAACACCCGGCCCCCCUGGGAGGUGAGGUGCAAGAGGAAGCCACGUUCAGGUCUUUGCAUUUUUUUUUUUCAAUGCCAUAGAAAGUUAUUGGAAGGUUUUAAAUACAGCAUGAUCUGAUUGACACACUCAGAAGAUUUACAUGUUUAAAUGACUCCAGCAUUAAGUUGGAGAGUGGAUUGACAGGAUAAGCCUGGAAAGUUCAUUCACUAGUCUUACUGAGAGAUGAUGCGAUGUCUAACAGAACCGAAACCUUAUGUCCACACAAAAACGGGUACAGGAAUGUUCAUAGCAGCACUAUUCAUAAUAGCCCCGAAGUGGAGAGAACUCUAUUGUCCAUCAGCUGAAGAAAGGAUAAAUAAAUGUAGGAUAUCCAUACAGUGGGAUAUCAUUUGGCCGUAAAGGAAUAAAGUACUGGUACUGGUAUGCACUGCAAGAUGGAUGAACCUUGAAAACAUCAUGCUAAGUGAAAGAAGCCACUCACAAGAGACCACAGAUUAUAUGAUCCCAUUAUAUGAAAUGUCCAGAAGAGGCACGUCGACAGAGAUAGAAAGGAACUGGUCAUCAGGGAUAGGUGAGGAGGGUGAGUGGGGAGUGACGGCUAAUGGGUAUGGGGCUUCUUUUGGAGAUGAUUAAAAUGUUCUGGAAUUAGUGGUGAUGGUUGCUUUGUGAAUAUACUAAAAACUAAUGAAUUGUACACUUCAAAAGGAUGAAUAUUAU
ensembl:lncRNA